CCUGAUGGCGCGAUGCCUGGCAACAGAGCGCCGGAUGCCGGAAAUUGGUCAAACUUGAUCAUUUAGAGGAAGUAAAAUCGUAACAAGGUUUCCGUAGGUGAACCNGCGGAAGGAUCAU
rnacentral:rRNA from 1 species